UACGGGGGGGGCAAGCGUUGUUCGGAAUUACUGGGCGUAAAGGACGCGUAGGCGGCCCUCUAAGUCAGACGUGAAAUCCCUCGGCUCAACCGGGGAACUGCGUCUGAUACUGGAGGGCUUGAAUCCGGGAGAGGGAUGUGGAAUUCCAGGUGUAGCGGUGAAAUGCGUAGAUAUCUGGAGGAACACCGGUGGCGAAGGCGGCAUCCUGGACCGGUAUUGACGCUGAGGCGCGAAAGCUAGGGUAGCAAACGGG
rnacentral:rRNA from 1 species